rnacentral:rRNA from 1 species
CCUACGGGGGGCUGCAGUGGGGAAUAUUGGACAAUGGGCGAAAGCCUGAUCCAGCCAUGCCGCGUGUGUGAAGCAGGCCUUCGGGUUGUAAAGCACUUUCAGUGGGGAAGAAAGCCUUGGGGCUAAUACCCUCGAGGAAGGACAUCACCCACAGAAGAAGCACCGGCUAACUCCGUGCCAGCAGCCGCGGUAAUACGGAGGGUGCGAGCGUUAAUCGGAAUUACUGGGCGUAAAGCGCGCGUAGGCGGUCUGGUAAGCCGGUUGUGAAAGCCCCGGGCUCAACCUGGGAACGGCAUCCGGAACUGUCAGGCUAGAGUGCAGGAGAGGAAGGUAGAAUUCCCGGUGUAGCGGUGAAAUGCGUAGAGAUCGGGAAGAAUACCAGUGGCGAAGGCGACCUUCUGGACGGACACUGACGCUGAGGUGCGAAAGCGUGGGUAGCAAACAGGAUUAGAUACCCGAGUAGUC